rnacentral:rRNA from 1 species
CCCUUAGAUGUUCUGGGCCGCACGCGCGCUACACUGAUGCAUUCAACGAGUCUAAAACCUGCUCUGAUAGGGGUGGGUAAUCUUUUGAAUGCGCAUCGUGAUUGGGAUAGAUGAUUGCAAUUUUUCAUCUUCAACGAGGAAUGCCUAGUAAACGCAAGUCAUCAGCUUGCAUUGAUUACGUCCCUGCCCUUUGUACACUCCGCCCGUCGCUCCUACCGAUUGAAUGAUCCGAUGAAUAUCAUGGAUUGAGGAUGCAAGUAGGUUAGCCUAUCUUCAUCUUCGAGAAGUGAAGUAAAUCUUAUCAUUUAGAGGAAGGAGAAGUCGUAACA